rnacentral:lncRNA from 1 species
UGCUGAUUUAUAAAUUCUUCCUAAAAGUUUUAAAAUAUAUACAAUAAGAUUUUAGUGCUAGAAAAUUAUUAAAUGUGCUUUGUAUCUAGGAUUCAUGGAGAAGACUGGUCAUCCUUCCUAUUAAAUUCAUAUAUCUCAGCAUUUUACUUGGAUGUUUAAUGGACAUCUCACUUCAAACAUUUAAAAAACGAAAUUUCUCUAUUCUGCACCUGCUUCGCCUUUAUAGCCUUAUCAUCUCACCGAGUCAACUCUAACUUUCCAGUUUCUAGUGCUUAAAAGUUUAUAGUUAUCUUCUCUCUCCUCUCUUUAUCUCAAAACCUCAUCUAGUCUGCUAGCUCAUACAAUUAGCUCUUUUUCAAAAUAUAGUAUCCACACUCUGACCACUCAUCUAAGCUUCAUUGUUAGUACCUUGCUCCAAAACUUCAAUUUCCAUCUGAAGUAGUUUAAUAAUCUGAAAACCGGUCUCCCUGCUUCUGCCCUUGCCCCCUAGAGUCAAUUUAUAACACAGUAGCAAGGGUGAGCUCAGAUGAUUUCAUUCUUCUCAAUAUCCUCUGCAAGAGUAAAACCCAAAGUCUUUACAAGGUGUGGUACAUUGGGUUAGGAUCUGGCAUUGCCAUACCUGUGGGGUAGGUUGCAGCUGCAGCUUGGAUUUGAUCCCUAGCCCAGGAGUUUCCAUAUGCUAUGGUGUGGCCAAAAGAGAAAGAAAAGAAAGAAAAAGUGAUUAUACUCAUUUUUGAGGAGGAUUGAUAUGAAGUUUGUAAGCACCUGUAUAGCAGAAGAUCAUGUUUUGUGAUUGGGCUGGCAUCUUUGCCUGUAUGAUGCAAGUGUAAUUGUUAAAUAAUUUCUGCCUCUAAAGUCCUAUACAGUAUAUCCUCUCACCCCUGAUCUUGCUUUUCUUAUUUCAUCUCUUAACAAUCUUUCCUGUACUCUUUCUUGUCUUGCUAAACUCUCAUCUUUGCUUUCUAGGAACUCACCAACCAUUCUUGCAUCUCAGAACAUUUAUACUCUGUUUCUUCUGACUCUUUCCCCAAGAUAUCCAUGUAGCGUAUUCUCUCACCUCCUUCAGAUCUUUGCUCAAAUGUCACCUUCUUAGAACUCUCUAGAUUUCCCUCCUCAAACUGACAUGGCCUUGUGGUUCUUCACAUUAUUUUUUCUGCUCUAUUUCUUCUCCAUAGCUUUAAUCACCUUCUAAUGUACCAUAGAGCUUUUUGUUGCUGUUGUUCAUUUUACAUUUUCCCCUAAUGGAAUAUGAACUCCACACAGGCAGGGGGUUUUGUCUGUCUUGUUUACUGUUACAUUACCAGUGCCUUGAACAGUGCCUGGAAUUAUUAGCAAAUCCAAAAAGAUUGCAUGAAUAUUUUAAGUUAUUUCACCAAAUUACAUAGUAGCCAGUAGUAGUAUGCAUUUAAGGAAAGCCCGUUUUGCCUAAAAAACAUUUUUUAAAAAUCCGUCAUCAGAGUGGGAAUUUUUACUUCUCUGAUUAUGAUAGAAUUAUGAGCCAAGAAUUAUAUUCCCCUUUCUCACAAAUCUUGAGAUCCCCAGGGCCUAAGUUUUACGUCAACAUGUGAGCUUUAUCUUUUGAAGUUACUCUAAGAUUAUGAGAUACUGUAUCUAUAUAUUCAUGGCUUAUAUUUACUAAUAGACUGUAAGAUAUCUCUGAUCUUAUUUUUAGUCAUUUUGAGCUCAAAAGCAUAGCAAAGUGUUCUGCAUUGGUUAUCCUAGUUUACUCUGAUUUUUAAAAAUUGCAGGAAAUUAAAAGACCAUAAUUCCUCCAAUAUUGGAAGCCACAUUAAGAUACUAUACCUAUAUACUUACUUUUACUAGAAAGGAGAAGGAAAAAAGAAGGAGGAAGGAAAAAGAUUAUGAUCCCUCUUCUCUGAAACAAUUAUAAAAUGAAUGAGGAAGUUUGGGGAUGUUUCUAAGAUCUUCCCAUGAUCUUGAAAUCUAUAUAUUAUGCCCACUUAGUCUAUGAAUUCUCAUAACAGAAGUCUUAUAUCAACUGGGUUUUAUAUUUGGUAUGUUUACAUAUUUUUUACAGUUCUGACACCACAGAACAGGAAUUGCACAAACAUAUAUUCUGACUGACUUUCCAACUUUUUCCCUUCUCCUCUGUAUUUUACUUGCAGCUCUCAUUUUCUGAACUUUACAAUCACAUUUUUUGGUCCUUAAUUAUCUCCAUACUUCAGUUUAUUAUUUGGGCAUGGUUUCUUCAUAAUUUUAGUAACCAAAUACCUUAGAUAUUGGUUCUUAGUAUGACGAGUUCCUGACCUUUAUACUUUGCAGUUUAUCUUUUCAUUCUUACUAAGCCUAUGCUAUUCCUUUUCCUCCACUACAGUAUUUGUGCUCUUCCCUAUUAUAAUAAUUCACUCGUCCAGUUUUAUAAUUUCUGUCAGGUCUUCUAUCAAGAAGACACUGAAAAUAAAUGGUUGGCAGGUGAUAGUGUAUGAACUAUAACUUGAAAAAUAAGGAUAGAUGUUUGAAAGUAUUUUCAGAAGACAACCAAUUAUUAAUGGCUUUAUGAUGAAUACUAGGUACACUGGUACUCAAUACUGAUCAUGUUUCUUGUCAAUUAUAUAAAUAUAUGGCAAUCAGGUUAAUGGAUAAUUUGGAAAACUUUCUUCUAGAGAGAAGAGACUAAAUGUCUCUGGCUCAGAAACAAGGCAGGAUUUUCUUGUGUUUAUAACUAUUCAAUCCUUAACAGUGUGUACAGUGGAAGACAUUCACCUCUGUGGCAUCCUUUUUUGCCAGUCUUCAAGAAUAUGUUUAGCACCAUUUCAGAAAUAAAGUGUUCAAGCUCAAGUACACACAGUAUAUGGAAGAUACUGUAAUUAAUAUUAUCUUCUACUCAAUUUUAUUUUUUUCAUGAAUUAUUUUUAUGAUUGAAAUCUUACAAUGUGUUCUUUGAUAAAUUUUAUUUAGUAUAUCCGCCUUUUAGUGGACUUAAAAAUUUUACAAAAUAGGCCACUGUUUUAUUAUAUUCUUAAACCCAUAGUAUUGUUUCAUUUAAUGUCUAGUUUAUUCCAUGUGUUUGUUAAUUUCUGAGGACAAAUGGAGUUCUGUUAAAUAAAAUGUCUCU